rnacentral:misc_RNA from 1 species
AUAGCAUUCAACUUAACAGCAAAAGUAAGCACCUGAAGUAUAAACCAGGUUAGCACAUGUUGACAAUCAUCAUCAGGACUCAGGAGAAUAUCUGAAGAAGCAAACUAAUGGUGAGUUUUCUCUAGAACACUGUAUAUGCAAUUCAAGAAACGUCAAGUUAUAUGCUGCUGGUGCUGCUUUGAGAUUUAACCGAAGCAUGAUCCCUCCAUCUAGACACCCCGGAACUAAAUAUCUUCUGCAAGAUGUCCA